GUGAUGAAUUUGAGUUUGGUUGGAAAAAAGAUGAUCUUGAUCUUCAAUCAGAAGUGAUUUAUCGUUACGUUUAUGAACACCAUUUUGUUAGUUAUGAACACCCUUUUAUGUUUUAUUUAGUGCAUUUGAGUUUGGAUUGCAAAAAAAGGUGAUCUUGAACUUCCAUUAGAAUUGUUCUUUCGUUACGUUUAUAAACACCUUUUUGUUAGUUAUGGACACCCUUUUGUUUUUUGUUGAUGAAUUUGAGAUUGGAUUGCGAAAUUUAUAAAAUGGGUUGGAAAAGAGAUGAUCUUGAUCUUCAAUUAGAGGUGAUUUUUUGUUACGUUUAUGAACACCCUUUUGUGUUUUAUUAGUGUCUUGGUGUUGAAUUUUAGUUGUAUUGCUUUUAUCUAGUGAAGAAAAAGGAUCUUGAUCUUCUGGGGGAAUGAUUCUUUGUUUUGUUUGUGGUUUUUCUUUGUUUUAUUUAGUGUUUUGAUGUUGGGUUUGCUGUUAAUUAUUGUGAAUAGCAGCUUAAUGAUCUUGAUCUUCAACUAGCUAGUCUUCUUGGUGGUGUUCGUCCUGCUUCAGUUGUUGUACCCCAGAUGCGAUUUUUCGUUAUGUUUUUCAACACCCUUUUGUGUUUUAUUUAGCGAAUUUGAGUUUGGAUUGCAAAAAUCCACUUCAUC
rnacentral:lncRNA from 1 species